GACGAACGCUGGCGGCAUGCCUAACACAUGCAAGUCGAACGGUAAGGCCCCUUCGGGGGUACACGAGUGGCGAACGGGUGAGUAACACGUGGGUAACCUGCCCUUCACCGGGGGACAACCGAGGGAAACUUCGGCUAAUACCGCAUGAUGUGCAGUGCUUCAAGGCGCUGUACCAAAAACUCCGGUGGUGAAGGAUGGGCCCGCGGCAGAUUAGCUUGUUGGUGGGGUAAUGGCCUACCAAGGCGACGAUCUGUAGCUGGUCUGAGAGGACGAUCAGCCACACUGGGACUGAGACACGGCCCAGACUCCUACGGGAGGCAGCAGUGGGGAAUCUUGCGCAAUGGGCGAAAAGCCUGACGCAGCAAAUGCCGCGUGAGGGAAGACGGUCUUAGGAUUGUAAACCUCUUUCAGCAGGGACGAAAACAGACGGUACCUGCAGAAGAAGCCCCGGCU
rnacentral:rRNA from 1 species